ACUAACACAUGCAAGUCGAACGGGAUUCACCUUCGGGUGAUGAGAGUGGCGCACGGGUGAGUAACGCGUAUGCAACCUUCCCCAAUCAGGGGGAUAGCCCGGAGAAAUCCGGAUUAAUACCCCAUAUUAUUAUAGUUUCGCAUGGGACUUUAAUGAAAGCUUUGGCGGUUUGGGAUGGGCAUGCGUGGCAUUAGCUUGUUGGUGAGGUAACGGCUCACCAAGGCGACGAUGCCUAGGGGUUCUGAGAGGAUGAUCCCCCACACUGGUACUGAGACACGGACCAGACUCCUACGGGAGGCAGCAGUGAGGAAUAUUGGUCAAUGGGCGCAAGCCUGAACCAGCCAUCCCGCGUGAAGGAAGACUGCCCUAUGGGUUGUAAACUUCUUCUGUACAUGAAGAACGGGCCUUACGUGUAAGGUUAUGACGGUAAUGUACGAAUAAGCAUCGGCUAACUCCGUGCCAGCAGCCGCGGUAAUACGGAGGAUGCGAGCGUUAUCCGGAUUCAUUGGGUUUAAAGGGUACGUAGGUGGCCCUGUAAGUCAGUGGUGAAAACCUGCCGCUUAACGGUAGGCGUGCCAUUGAUACUGCGGGGCUUGAGUACAGAUGAGGUAGGCGGAAUGUGUAGUGUAGCGGUGAAAUGCAUAGAUAUUACACAGAACUCCGAUUGCGAAGGCAGCUUACUAAACUGCAACUGACGCUGAUGUACGAAAGCGUGGGUAGCGAACAGGAUUAGAUACCCUGGUAGUCCACGCCGUAAACGAUGCUCACUGGCUGUAUGCGAUACACAGUAUGUGGCCAAGCGAAAGCGCUUAGUUGAGCCACCUGGGGAGUACGCCGGCAACGGUGAAACUCAAAGGAAUUGACGGGGGCCCGCACAAGCGGGAGGAACAUGUGGUUUAAUUCGAUGAUACGCGAGGAACCUUACCUGGGCUAAAUGGGGAGUGACGGACGCUGAAAGGUGUCUUUCUUCGGACACUCUCAAGGUGCUGCAUGG
rnacentral:rRNA from 1 species